UACACUCCUGCGGGAGGCAGCAGUGGGGAAUAUUGCACAAUGGGCGCAAGCCUGAUGCAGCCAUGCCGCGUGUAUGAAGAAGGCCUUCGGGUUGUAAAGUACUUUCAGCGGGGAGGAAGGCGAUAAGGUUAAUAACCUUGUCGAUUGACGUUACCCGCAGAAGAAGCACCGGCUAACUCCGUGCCAGCAGCCGCGGUAAUACGGAGGGUGCAAGCGUUAAUCGGAAUUACUGGGCGUAAAGCGCACGCAGGCGGUCUGUCAAGUCGGAUGUGAAAUCCCCGGGCUCAACCUGGGAACUGCAUUCGAAACUGGCAGGCUAGAGUCCUGUAGAGGGGGGUAGAAUUCCAGGUGUAGCGGUGAAAUGCGUAGAGAUCUGGAGGAAUACCGGUGGCGAAGGCGGCCCCCUGGACAAAGACUGACGCUCAGGUGCGAAAGCGUGGGGAGCAAACAGGAUUAGAAACCCCAGUAGUCCCAUGAU
rnacentral:rRNA from 1 species